GAUGAACGCUGGCGGCGUGCCUAAUACAUGCAAGUCGAGCGAACGGACGAGAAGCUUGCUUCUCUGAUGUUAGCGGCGGACGGGUGAGUAACACGUGGAUAACCUACCUAUAAGACUGGGAUAACUUCGAGAAACCGGAGCUAAUACCGGAUGAUAUUUUGAACCGCAUGGUUCAAAAGUGAAAGACGGUCUUGCUGUCACUUAUAGAUGGAUCCGCGCUGCAUUAGCUAGUUGGUAAGGUAACGGCUUACCAAGGCAACGAUGCAUAGCCGACCUGAGAGGGUGAUCGGCCACACUGGAACUGAGACACGGUCAAGACUCCUACGGGAGGCAGCAGUAGGGAAUCUUCCGCAAUGGGCGAAAGCCUGACGGAGCAACGCCGCGUGAGUGAUGAAGGUCUUCGGAUCGUAAAACUCUGUUAUUAGGGAAGAACAUAUGUGUAAGUAACUGUGCACAUCUUGACGGUACCUAAUCAGAAAGCCACGGCUAACUACGUG
rnacentral:rRNA from 1 species